GAAAAAAGCAAAACAAAACUACAGCUCCAAAUAACAAGACGCCUGAUGAAGGAAUGGCAGGAUGUAGAGGUGCCGAUCUGGGAGACCAAACUGCUUCUCCUUAAAUCUCAAUGCCCAAGCUGACUGCAUCCGUGCCCACCUGUAAGUCCAGCUAUUCGUGUUUAUGUGAGAUGAUGAAUGCGACAGGAAUACUAAGGUGACAAAGGGGCAGAGAUCGAGUUGUGAUGCAAAUUCCAAGUGAAAACCCCAUUUUAUACUACCUUGUAUCGAGGACUGCAUCCUUUCAUGGACAUUAACCAAUAAUUUGCUUGGCACCUCUAUAAAAUAUCAGUUAUUAAGAGGUAAGCAAUUAGUGUGCAGGAGAAGGAAGGCAUUCAGCAAAAGCCCAGGCAGCGUGAAAUUAGGGACCAGGGUAGAAGAGAAUGCAAUCCCUAAUCCUUUCAAGAGAGCACUGAGGAAAAGCAUGGUAGCUAUCAAAGACUCGGAAGAGAUGCAGGUAAUCUCCAAGCAAUUCCGCGACAUGAAAGCGUAUUUUAAGUUUAGAGAUCAUCAGAGAGGAAAGACUAUCUUUUGAGAACAGAAUGGGAUGUAUCCUGUGCUUUUUCCACACCUUUCUCCGAGGCUGGAGCAUCACCUACUAGUCUACAUUCAGAGCCUGCUGGGAACAUAACACUAUUUCCGGGAAGGACCAGCCCUCAGGGGCCACACAUCCAGGGAAGACUUUCCGCUCAGCACCCACACCUUUAUAAACUCAUCUCUGCCCCUUCCUGUCCCUUCAUCCCAGCCCAUCUCCUGCUUCCUGAAGGCCCCCGGUUUACUGAACUCUUCCUGGUGUCCUGCCACCCCCAGCGUCAUCCCCACUUGAGGAAAGCGACAUCCCAGAGAGAGAGACAGACGUCCCCACAGAGGGCCAUGUAAGACUGUCGGGCGUGGUGAGGACACCCAGAGGACAGCGGCUACACCGGGCUGAGGGUGACCAGUGCCGAAGGGGUUUGAGUUUAUUCUGUAAAUAGUGGAGACGGCAAUGGUGACCAAACCAAUCAUUUGAUGCUUCCAUAUCUCAUCUACACAAU
rnacentral:lncRNA from 1 species